GGAUGUGAGGGCUAUCUGGCUGUGACAUCUGUCACCCCAUUGAUCUCCAGGGUUAAUUCGACUGAUCUGGCUGGCUAGGUGGGUGUCCCCUUCCUCCCUCACCGCUCCAUGUGCAUCCCUCCUGAAGCUGCCCACUCAGUUGAAGAGGACAUAGAGACAGACCGGGCUUUGGUCAAGGGUAUAUAAGUAGCUGCACUCCCCUACUAGAACCUCCAAACAAGCUCUCAAGAAUUAAGCAGUUGUGUAAUGUGAGGAGUUUGUACAUGUAUGCACACACAUAUAUAGUGUGUAUUGUUAUAU
rnacentral:snRNA from 1 species